rnacentral:rRNA from 1 species
GACGAACGCUGGCGGCGUGCUUAACACAUGCGAGUCGAGCGGAAAGGCCACUUCGGUGGUACUCGAGCGGCGAACGGGUGAGUAACACGUGAGUAAUCUGCCCCUGGCUUUGGGAUAGCCACCGGAAACGGUGAUUAAUACCGGAUAUGACACAUUCUCGCAUGAGUUUGUGUGGAAAGUUUUUCGGCCAGGGAUGUGCUCGCGGCCUAUCAGCUUGAUGGUGAGGUAAUGGCUCACCAUGGCUUCGACGGGUAGCCGGCCUGAGAGGGUGACCGGUCACACUGGGACUGAGACACGGCCCAGACUCCUACGGGAGGCAGCAGUGGGGAAUAUUGGACAAUGGGCGGAAGCCUGAUCCAGCAACGCCGCGUGAGGGAUGACGGCCUUCGGGUUGUAAACCUCUUUCAGUACCGACGAAGCGCAAGUGACGGUAGGUACAGAAGAAGCACCGGCCAACUACGUG